rnacentral:lncRNA from 1 species
CGCUACACUCGCCAUUGUGCUCGCCGCCGGCUUCGUCACCGACGCCAUCGGAAUCCACGCCCUAUUCGGCGCCUUCAUGGUGGGUGUCGUCGUGCCGAAGGACGGGCCCUUCGCGGCGGUGAUCAUCGAGAAAGUGGAGGACCUUGUUUCCGGCCUCUUUCUCCCGCUCUACUUCGUCUCCAGCGGUCUCAAGACCAACGUCGCCACGAUCCGCGGCGCCCGCUCCUGGGGCCUCCUCGUCCUCGUCAUCACCAACGCCUGCCUCGGAAAGAUUGCCGGCACGGUCGUCGCGUCCCUCAUCGUCAAGAUCCCCAUUCGCGAGGCCUUCACUCUUGGCUUCCUCAUGAACACCAAGGGACUCGUCGAGCUCAUCGUCCUCAACAUCGGGAAGGACCGCAAGGUUUGGUUCACAGUGCACCGUCUCUUUUCGCUGCCUUCGUCCCUCGCUAUUUAUCUUAACCACCUAUCUUUGACACAUAUAUCAUACCGACAGGUACUCAACGACGAGACGUUCGCCAUCAUGGUGCUGAUGGCACUGUUCACCACCUUCAUCACCACCCCCAUCGUCAUGGGAAUCUACAAACCGGCCCGGAGGGCGGCACCCUACAAGCACCGGACGGUCGAGAGGUCCCACGUGGACAGCGAGCUCCGCGUCCUGGCCUGCUUCCACGGCGUCCGCAACAUCCCCACCAUUAUCAACUUGGUGGAGAUCUCCCGCGGCAUCCGCCAUCGACCCCUCGCCGUGUAUGCCCUGCACCUCAUGGAGCUCUCGGAGCGCUCAUCGGCUAUCUCGAUGGUACACAAGGCCCGCCGCAACGGCCUCCCCUUCUGGAACCGGCGGGACAAUGCCGGCCACAUGGUGGUGGCUUUCGAGGCGUACCAGCAGCUCAGUGCCGUCAAUAUCCGCCCCAUGACGGCCAUCUACGACCUCGACACCAUCCACGAGGAUAUCGUCGCCAGCGCCUUGCAGAAGCGCGCCGCCCUCAUUCUUCUCCCCUUCCAUAAGAUGCAACAGCUGGACGGCACCCUCGAGUCCGUCGGCCACCCCUACCAUCUCAUCAACCAGCGCGUGCUCCGCCAUGCCCCUUGCUCCGUCGCCAUCGUCGUCGACCGCGGUCUCGGCGGCACCGCUCAGGUCUCCUCCAGCGAGGUCUCCUACACCGUCGUGGUCCUCUUCUUCGGCGGCCCGGACGACCGCGAGGCCCUCUCUUAUGGUGGGCUCAUGGCGGAGCAUCCGGGCAUCGCACUCACCGUCCUCCGCUUCCUCCCGGCCCCUGUUGAGAACGUGGACCGAAGCGCCGAAGACGAGGCGUGCAUUUCCAAGUUCCGGUCUAACUCGCAGUCGUCGGAUGGGUCUCUCACGUACGAGGAGUCGGCGGCCGCGGAUAUGGCUGGGAUCAUAGCAGCUAUCAAGAAUCUGGGACGGCGCAAUCUCUUCCUAGUGGGUCGGUCCCCGCCGGCGGUUGCCCUGGUCGAGAAGAGCGACUGCCCGGAGCUGGGCCCGGUGGGAAGCUACCUGGUCUCCGCGGAGUUCUCGACCACAGCGUCGGUGCUAAUAAUACAGCGUUACGAUCCUAGCCGGGAAACCUCCAGGCUAGUGGAGCAGGUGGAGGCGGCGGAGGUGGCCGACAUGCCUGACACACCGCUGGCUCUCGUGACCUCCGAGCGUUCUCUGCGUGCCUAAUGACAGCCAAGGUAGAAGAAGGCGAUGGGUUUCUGACUUAGUUCUUUCUCUGUGUUCCUUAUUAUAUACUUAGUUGAUUAUCUUAUCACAAGAAUCGUGAUCAUCAAAGCAAAAUAAUAAGUUCAUUAGAUUCUUGAAUCAAAUUUAAUAUUUAUUAAUUUAACUUAAAAAAAAUAAUUUAUUUAGAAAAGUAAAUCUCUAUGUAUACAAAGGAUAUUUUUAUUCACAAUCCUUUUUUUGUUGUUGUCCUUCUCUCGGAAUGACCUCACGAAGCCCAUUACCGGUGGGAUCCGCUUUCCCUUAGAAGCAAUGAGAGAGUUAUCAACGAAGAGAUGUAAUAUCUUUUUUUUUUUUAAUUAUUUAUAAUAUUUAUAGUUUUAAAUUAUUUUAAUAUAAGAAUUAUUUAAUAAUUUUUAUAUUAAAUAAUUUUAUAUUAAAAACUUAUUAUUAGUUAACAUAAGGAAUGUGUCACUUGUGUUUGUCAUAUUGAUGACAUCUAUGCUUAUCAUUCGUCUCAUGUAUGCUUAUCACUUUAUUAUCAUUGUGUUAGUUAAAUCGUGCCUAUCGCUUUAUUAUCAUUGUGUUAGUUAAACCUAAACAAAUUAGAGAAGAAAACUUAUCAAAUGAAAACCUUAGCUCCAACCCAUCUUGGAUUAAUUCUAUACACUUAAGAUUAAAUUAUUCUAAAAUAAGUGUUUACGCUCAUCCAACGGUAAUUUUUAAUUUUUAAUUUUUCUUGAUUACAAGUAUUUUGUAGAGUUUUCCCUUUGCUAAUGGUGUUAAUCACAUUUGAACUAUAAAUUUGUUAAUUUAAUUUUUUUUUAAUUUUGACCUAUCUAUCUUGUUUUAACUAUAAUAUUUUAUAUAGAAUUCUGAUUUAGGCAAAACUUAUUUUUUUAGAAACUAGACUUUUAUAUAUUUUUAAUAUAUUACUUGAAAGAUUUAGAAUGUAAAUAUCUACUUAAAUAUUUGUUUCAUUUAAUGAUUUGGAUUCUACAAACUAAAGAUAAUAGUUUUUAAUAUCUCUAUAUUAAAUUGUUUGUAACUCUCUAUAGGUAAUUUUUAAUUUAUAGAUUCAACCGGAACAAAUUUAUUUUCAAAUUUUCCUAUUUUUGUUUCUAUAUUUUCAAAUUGAUCAUCCGUAAAUAUCUAUAUUUUAGUUAUAAUUCUGCCUUCAAUUGAACCUUAUGUGCCUGUUUUAAAUCUUGUAUAUCUUGUUAUUAGUUUUUCUUAUAUCUGAGUUAUAUAAAAGUUUAUGUUUGUCUCUUUAUAUUUGCACAUGUAUACUUUUGUUGCACACAAUACCAUUUUAUACUUCGAAGUUUAUCGGAUAAUAUGGACUUUUGUCGAAAAUGAGAAAGGGAGUUAAUGUGUAGAACUUGUAAUGCUCUUAUCGGCCCUUCAUCUAGAUGUAGGUGGAUGAAGCUACCAAACGUGAUAGGCUAAUAUUAAUGGUCAUCCAAAAAUGGAUGAAUCAUGUUAUACUAUUAUCUUGUUUCACCAUCUAUGUUCUUUUGAUAUGUUAUCCAAAGUACUUAUUUAUGUGUUCUUAUAUGUGUUUUGGAAAUGAACCAAAUAAACGAAAUAUCAAAUAUGACACUUGAGCUUAUGUUUUAUACUUAUUUCUUGAUAUGUUGCUAAAUGUUAUUUACUUCAUUGAUAUGCUUUUAAAUUCUCUUUCCUUUAUUUAAGAGUAAAAUACUCUUUACUCUAUUAAUGUACUCCUAAAUAUUUUUUACUUCAUUAAUAUACUCUUAAAUAUUCUUUAUUUCAUUCAUAUGCUCCUAAAUAUUCUUUACUCUAUUGAUAUGAUCUUAAAUGCUCUUUACUAAAUGAGUGAAAGAAAAUAUCAAAUAUGACUACUCUUGAGCUAAUGACUUGUAUUUUGAUAUUGAGGAGUUAAUAUGUUGCUCUUUGGUCCCUUGUUAAGUAUACUUCUAACGAAAUGAUAUCUACGAUUCUUAUAUCUAAUGAAAUGAUAAUUAUGAUUCUUGUAUCUAAUAAAAUGACAUUUAUAAUUUUUGUAUCUAAUGCAAUGACAUCUAUGAUUCUUAUAUCCAUACGUUGAAUCUUAAUAUAAGCUAUUAUCUUUUCGUCAUAGAUAAAAUGAUAAUUAUGAUUCAUAUGAGCUAUUAUCUUUUCGUUAUAGAUAUGUUAGUCACUUGCUAAGCUAUGUAGCUCACAUUGUUAUUAUAUAAAAUUUUCAGAUUAACUUGUCACUCACUAUAAUGUUAGGAUUGGGCUGAGACAGUGGAUGGUAGAAGAUUUUGAACAAGUCUUUGAUGAUUUAACAUGAUGUUGUUGUAUAAAGUAUCCUUUUCUUGUAAUGAAAUAUUGUUAACAAAUCUGAAUUAAUAUAUCUCGUAAAGGUUAAAAGACCUCCGAAAUUUUAGAAUAUUAAAUUAAAGUUUUAUGAUAAUAGAGCUUUAUAUCUAUGUAUUUUAUGAUAAUAGAGCUUUAUAUCUAUGUAUUUUAUGAUAAUAGAGCUUUAAAGCUCCAAGUAUAUACUGAUGUGGCUAAUAGAGCUAUGAUAAUUAAAAGAGAUAUUAAGAAGAUUCAAGAUAUUAGAAGCAAAAUCAGAAUUUGAUAACAAGAGGGUUAAGAUAUCUAGAUUUAGUAAAAAGUCACAACAAAAUACUAAAUCAUGUAUAAAAUAUGAAUUAAAUUAUGAAACAAGUUAAUAUUUUUAGAUAAUUGAAGCAUGUGUUGCUCGUGAAAAGUUAGAUAAUAAAGUAAAAGAUUACUCUUUGAUCAAGAAGAAAGAGUAACCGUCUCCUACAUUAUUAGCUCAUAUGUUAUUAUCGAACAAUAUUAUAAGGCUUAUAAGUCAAUAGUCGAAAGUAUUAUUUAUAUUUUUAAUAAAAAUAUAAAAGUUUUGUUUGAUUUUGUUCUAAUCUAUCUUAUUUCACUUCUGAACAUAAACUUCUUACUUAUAUGAUUCUCCUAUAGAUACCAAUUAAUCUCAUAAACUUAAACUUUUAAAUUAUAAAUAAAAAUCUAACAUAUAUAAUCAGACUUUUUUAAUUACUAAAGAUACGAGACUAUCCUCUCAAGAUAUUUGUCUUCGUCUCACACACAGACCCCACUUAUUGGUAUUUGUCCAUAAUGUUACAACUCAUCUUAACCUAGAAUUUUAAAAUAUAACUAUUUUUUUUUUAAGGAGUUACGAUAACUAUUAAAAUUAAAUAGAGAGUGAAUCUACGUGAAUGAUAAUGUGGGAUUGUAUUAUGUCAAAACUUUGAUUGGUUAACAAGCUAACAAGAUGUCUGAUGCGGUCAUUUGAUACAAUUUUGACUUGUUCUGUCAAUAUUGACUUCAUUCACAAAAAAACACGUAUCUUAGGUAGGACCAGUUUUAAGUAAAAACAGCCUAGCUUCCGAUUAUGGUAUGUGCUUACCAGAACUCAUAACAUAUAUGUAUCUUUACUAUAUAAAAGAAUAUUUCAUUGACAUUAGUUUAAUCUAAAUAAAAAAAUCAAUCUAAAAUUAUAUAUAUAUAUAUAUAUAUAUAUAUAUAUAUAUAUAUAUAUAUAUAUAUAUAUAUAUAUAUAUAUAUAUAUAUAUAUAUAUAUAUANNNNNNNNNNNNNNNNNNNNUAAGACUCGGCUGACGUCAGCUGACGCCUCACGCCUCGAUCGACGCGACUGCACUCAGUCAAUCGAACUGGAACAUCGACCGAGACGCAUUAACGCCUACUCAGGCGCGGUUCUUCACGCCAUGCCAGCGCCCAUGUCAGACGCUAUCAGCCUGCGUCCUGUAGGUGGGCACAUCAAACAGCAGAAGGCUUCCCUAUAAAUACCCUCUCGUUCAUCAGAGAAGGGAGGGAGAGACAAAACAUACAAAAACAUUUCUUCAUCUGAAACCCCCUCCACAUCUGCUAACUUGAUCGUCGGAGGGGCCGGGCCGAGUGCCUCGGCCCGACCUUUGUGCAGGUGCGAAGCCGAAGGUCCCCUUCGGACGCGCAGGCGAGGAGUUCCUGCCCGGAGGAGACGGUUACACCGUCUCGAUCGGACACCGCUCCCGAUCGCCUCAGCGGGCUCGAGGAACGCCCCAGGGAGGUCCCCGUCGUCCGGACCCGAACCGAGCCGCGUCGAUCCCGAGGCCACGACUCAAAGUUGUUUCCCACAACAUAUAUAAUUAAGAUUUUUUAAAGAUAAAUGACGAUUGUAAGAUUCAAUUAAAAACUUUAUAUUCUUUAUUUUUUUGAUUCAUUAUAAAAAAUAAAUAUAUAAUUAAAAGUAUUAUGGAAAAUAAUCAUUGAUGUUCUAAUCGAUCCAACGGGUUGAAUGCUAAAUUCCUAAAAUGUUAGGAUUUCUGAUCCGUUCAAAGUCCAAAUAAAUAACCUGAGAUGAAUAUGGAUAUGAGAUUAAAAAAUAAUUCACAGGUUAUUUUUAUAAAAUAUUUUAUUUUAUAAAAUAUUCUAUAAAUAGGUACCUUCUAACCGCUUAACUGACUAUAUUCGCCGGACUUUGAGUCGUAAUGGUAAUUGCCACGUAAUCUUAUUAUAAGUAACAUUAGGGACUCGAGCGGAAGAAACGUGUCCGAGGCCACAGGGGAGCCGUGAGCAUUAUAAAUUGAGAGAGGGAGAGAAGGCGCCAAGAUUGUUGUUACCGCUUACCCCGUUUUCCGUUACGCUCUUCGUGCGCUCGUUUUGUCGCUAGGAAGACGACGGGAACAGAGAAUCUCGGGAACGUAAGAUCGCCAUGGCGACGACGAGCGUGUGCCCGGCGCCGAUGACGGCUACGUCGAACGGGUCGUGGGAUGGGGAUAACCCGCUGCACCACUCGCUGCCGCUCAUCAUCCUCCAGAUCUGCCUCGUCCUUGUCGUCACCCGCUCCCUCGCAUUCCUCCUCCGGCCGCUUCGCCAGCCCCGCGUCAUCGCCGAGAUCAUCGUAAGCCCCGUCGAUCCCCCACUCCUCUCUUUCUCGUUUAACAUGCAGAUUUGAUUUGUCUUUACUCGUUCUACUCCUCCCGUCCUCCCCUACUCCCCCGGUUGCGGUGCUGGGUUUCCUGAUUCCAAACCCUAAAUCCAGUAUCGGAGUAGAUUCCGUGGGGAACGAACCUCCAGUCCACGAGCAUGUGGGGUUGGGAAUGGGAUUUUGAACUGGAAACAGGGGUGGGGCAUUUCGUAGGAAGCUUCAUCUCGAAUUCCACCGAUUUGAGAUAGAAAGAAAGAAUUGCAACCAAUACAUUCGCACUCCGUAAAAGCUCGUUUUUUUCAUCCUCAGGAGCAGAGAGAAGGUUCGUGCUCUUGAUCAUCCUCCAGAUCAUGGAAUCGGAGUUUGGUCUUACCAUUGACUUAGACGUCUAAUUUGGUUGACCCAUUCGUUGACUUUGACAUUCGAGGACACGAUUUCGAUUUGGAUAUUUAGAGAGCAGAACAAAAAAGACCAGUAGAUAGUAAGACAUAGUGAGCAGCGUAGAUACAUCAACCAAAUUCAAAUACAUAGUACGAAUGGUAGGAAAAAAACACGUCUUUUAUAUCUGUACCCAUUUUUCCUGUUCUAUAUGGUUCAUAGUGACGGUAGAACUACGGAUGCAUGAUGAUGGCGGCCGCCACUUUGGAUUGUGAAUGAUUUCCACCACAGCACUGGCGCUCUGUUCGUGUGAUGGUACUAACUCUUGGAUCGUGUUGCAGGGGGGCAUACUUCUGGGGCCAUCAGCGCUUGGCCGCAGCAAGAGGUUCAUGGACAAUGUGUUCCCCAAGCAGGGCAUGACGGUGCUCGACACUCUGGCCAACAUCGGCCUCCUUUUCUUCCUCUUCCUGGUCGGCCUCGAGCUCGACCUUCGAUCCAUCCGUCGCACCGGCAAAGGGGCCCUGGCUAUCGCCAUCGCAGGCAUCACCCUCCCCUUCGUCCUCGGCAUCGGCACCUCCGUCGUCCUCCGACACACCAUCGUCGAGGGCGCCCACCAGGGCCCCUUCCUCGUCUUCAUGGGCGUCGCUCUCUCCAUCACUGCCUUCCCCGUCCUCGCCCGCAUCCUCGCUGAGCUUAAGCUCCUCACCACCGACGUCGGCCGCAUGGCCAUGUCCGCCGCUGCCGUCAAUGACGUGGUCGCCUGGAUCCUCCUUGCCCUCGCCAUCGCCCUCUCCGGUUCCGGCUCGCCGCUCAUAUCCCUCUGGGUCCUUCUCGCCGGCAUCGGCUUCGUCGCCUGCGUCGCCAUCUUCCUUCGCCCCGUACUUGCCUGGAUGGCCCGCCGCUCGCAGGAGGGUGAACCCGUUAAGGAGUCGUACGUUUGCGCUACGCUCGCUAUUGUGCUUGCCGCCGGCUUCGCCACCGACGCCAUCGGUAUCCACGCCCUGUUCGGCGCCUUCAUGGUGGGUGUCGUCGUGCCGAAGGACGGGCCCUUCGCGGGGGUGAUCAUCGAGAAAGUGGAGGACCUUGUUUCCGGCCUCUUUCUCCCGCUCUACUUCGUCUCCAGCGGUCUCAAGACCAACGUCGCCACGAUCCGCGGCGCCCGCUCCUGGGGCCUCCUCGUCCUCGUCAUCACCAACGCCUGCCUUGGAAAGAUUGCCGGCACAGUCAUCG